rnacentral:rRNA from 1 species
UACGGAGGGUGCAAGCGUUGUUCGGAAUCACUGGGCGUAAAGCGCGUGUAGGCGGCUAUCUAAGUCUGAUGUGAAAGCCCUGGGCUCAACUCAGGAAGUGCAUUGGAUACUGGAUAGCUGGAGUACCGGAGAGGAGGGUGGAAUUCCUGGUGUAGCGGUGAAAUGCGUAGAUAUCAGGAGGAACACCGGUGGCGAAGGCGUCCCUCUGGCCGGAUACUGACGCUGAGACGCGAAAGCGUGGGGAGCAAACAGG